rnacentral:tRNA from 1 species
CGGGGCAUGGCGCAGUUGGUAGCGCGCACGCUUCGGGUGCGUGAGGUCGUGAGUUCAAGUCUCACUGCCCCGACCA